GAUGAAGAACGUAGCGAAAUGCGAUAAGUAAUGUGAAUUGCAGAAUUCAGUGAAUCAUCGAAUCUUUGAACGCACCUUGCGCCCUUUGGCCAUUCCGAAGGGCAUGCCUGUUUGAGUAUCAUGAACACCUCAACUCUUUAUGGUUUUCCAUGAUGAGCUUGGACUCUGGGGUUUUGCUGGCUCACAGUCGGCUCCUCUAAAAUGAAUCAGCUUACCAGUGUUUGGUGGGUAUCAUGGGUGUGAUAACUAUCUACGCUUGUGGUUUUUCCACCAGGUAACCUUCAGCAGUGGAGGUUCGCUGGAGCUCAUAGAUGUCUCUCCUCAGUGAGGACAGCCCUUUGAAUGUUUGAUCUCAAAUCAGGUAGGACUACCCGCUGAACUUAAGCAUAUCAAUAAGCGGAGGA
rnacentral:misc_RNA from 1 species